UGCAUACUUAGACCAGAUUGGAAAAUCUGGGCAAACCACAUCACAUUCAACAAGCAGCAUUUGGCAGCAGCAGCUUUUAAGCAGCUUUUGGCAGUACUCUGGUUCUAAAAUUCCUACAAUACUACUGUUGGGUUAAAAGAUGUAACUAGAACAAUGGAGCAUGUAAGGAAGAUUUGAUCCCGGCAGCCAAGAAGCGACACCCCUGAACACCAUUUAAGAAGGACAAUAAUAGACAGGUGUUGGAUGGUGGAGAAAGAAGUUGGCGUUGAAGAUUUAAAAGGAAAGCUGGAAGCUGAAAAAAGUGCUUACAGUGUAUAUUAAUAAAUUAA